rnacentral:rRNA from 1 species
GAGAUAAAGCCAGACGUGCCUAACACAUGCAAAUCGAAUGAAAAGAGUUAAUUAUUGUUUUCAUGGUGAACGGGUGAGUAACACAUAAGAAUCAGCUUUUAGAUAAGGCAUAAAAGAGUAAUAUCUUGGUAAUUCCUUAUAUGCGCAGCAGUGCUUAAAAAGGGGAGUCCCGUCUAAAAACGAGCUUAUGCCUGAUUAGCUAGUUGGCGAGUUAAAAGCUCACCAAGGCGAAGAUCAGUAGCUGGCCUGAGAGGGCGGCCAGCCACAUUGGGACUGAGACACGGCCCAAACUCCUACGGGAGGCAGCAGUGGGGAAUCUUCUGCAAUGGGCGCAAGCCUGACAGAGCGGCGUCGUGUGAAGGAAGAAGGCCUGAAAUAGGUUGUAAACUUCUUUUACUGAAUAAUGAAUAAUGACAACGCAGUAAAAAAGUAUCGGCUAACUCCGUGCCAGCAGCCGCGGUAAUACGGGGGAUGCAAGCGUUAUCCGGAAUCACUGGGCGUAAAGCGUCUGUAGGUGGUUUAGUGUGUUCUUAGUUAAAUUCUGAAGCCUAACUUCAUGAAAAGUAAGAAAACUAUUAGACUUGAGUACGAUAGGGGUAAGAGGAAUUCUUCGAGAAGUAGUGAAAUGCGAAGAUACGAAGGAGAAGAUCAUAAGCGAAGGCUUCUUACUGGGUCGUAACUGACACUGAGAGACGAAAGCUAGGGGAGCGAAUGGGAUUAGAUACCCCAGUAGUCCUAGCUGUAAACGAUGGAUAUUCGGUGCCGGAAAUUUUAUUAGAACAUUUCGGUACCCUAGCUAACGCGUUAAAUAUCCCGCCUGAGGAGUACGCUCGCAAGGGUGAAACUCAAUGAAUUGACGGAAGGGC